UUCCCUAGAGUUUUUUCUUGCCUAUCAAUCGGUUAUCAGAUCUGGAUCACUUUCAGAAGGUCCAGAUAGCAUACCGUCUAAGAAAGUCUAUUUAUUGCAGGAUAUUCGUCCGAAGAACAAGAUUCCAGUCGGGCCUCGGCUAGUCAGGAAGCCAGAUGUCCUGAAGUGCACUUAUGAUGGGAAUCUACCUAUAACAAAGAACCUUAGUGCCACUAUGUAGUCUUCGCUCAGGUGUCGUAGAUCACAAUAGUUAAGGAAAACAUAUGUGCUUGCACAUCUUCCUAUUCCACGUUUACGAAGUAUAAGUAUUGUGAAAGCAAACAAUAUGUUACUUUGGACAAUACAAUUUGGGUGGCAUUCGACACUUGAGCUUGAGACGGGAGAGAGGGAGACAGCUGAGAUGGCUGGGCAGGGGCUCAGCGACGUGACAUGACAAUCGCGGGCGGCACAAGGAGGAGAAGGGCUAAGUUGUACGCGUUGGGUUGGGUUGGUUCGGGGUUUAGGAUAGGUGGAUUAUCUUGGUAGAUAGUUUUCGAAUGGCGAGCAGAGGGGUAAACUUGGAAAAAGAUGACAAGAAAUGAAAUUGCAAAUCUGUAGAUUAGAUUAAAAUCAUAAGUGAUGUUGGAUGCAAGGAAUGAAAUUGCAAAAGCGAUUAUGGCUUUUGUAGGUUUUCAAAAAUAUGGAGGGUAUUUGAUUCGCGCAUAAAAGUUAGGAUGGCUUUGGAAAUUCUCAAAAAAAAAAUGUUAGAAUCAGUCCAAUUGCCAUGAAGAAAGGGUGGAGUAGACAUCAUUUUCCAUUAUCACUAAAGUCGGUAGGUAAAACUACAACCUCAAUGACAAAUUACCAAUAAAAAAUAGUUCCAUUAAACAAGUACAAUAAGGAGUGACCACAUCUAAUAUAAUAUAAUUAAAAGUUAAUAUCAUCCAAAACCUCAAAAUUGAUAGACUCCAAACAAAAAUUCCGGAACCGAUACAAUCUUAAAAACGUCGGCACAAAUGCCAGCAUAGUCCUAAGAUUCCGAUCUUCAGGGCUCGCUAGUGGGGAAACAAAUCAGGAUUAGACAGAAGCAUCUUUCCGUCGCAAAAGGCUAAGGUGUGGAACGAAUGUGAUCGUGGCGAGUUUCCAUCCGAUUGAUCGGAGCAAAAGGCUUGUCGUUCAGCUUUUCACAAGCACUAAAAGCUUUCUGGCAUCUCAAGAUGAACUUGCAACUAAUCAGGAGGGGGUUGCAUCAGCAUAAAUGUGUACGAUGUUGAAUCGAAUUCAGACAACCGAGUGAAUCGACUUUAGCGAUGAAGAAAUGAUGAAGCCUUGUCGAGUACAUAUCACCCGACCAUCUUGGUCUUUAGCCUAUCCUUUUCUUUGGAGAGAGAAUCAUGGAGAGCCACCAAUGUCAAAAAGUAUCAUUGAAUAGGUAUUCGAUUCGCUAAAGAUGAUGUCAUCUCUAAACCCUAAAUUUUUUUUUUCAAUUAAAAAUGGAAAAUCUUACGAGUUUUGAGAUCAAACAAUCCCUAAAAGACUGAAUGCUCAUGAUGUUUCCGGUCUAUGUUGCAGAUGAAUCGAGGACCCCACGUUUUGUGCGAUGAUUCUAAUAUCACUCGAGUAUAAGGCGACAUUUCAUAAGAUGAGAAUAAAGUGAAUGAUUUAAUGCAGAACGGGUUUCUCCAACCAUCAAUUUAUCAAUUUGUUUCUUUAUUUGAUCUAGUUAUUUUGACGUUGUCCUUGAUUAAGGAUAUAUGUUUCUACUAAAGUACCUUAUUUAGAAUUAUUUUCCUAGUGUUUUAUUAGGGUUUGCUUCUAGACAGCUUAUACUUUAUGAUUUGAUUAAUGAAUAUCGUGCAUUUGCCCUUUCUUCUUUCCCACAUGAACCGGCGUUUCUCUAUUUCUCCUCCAACUUUCGCUACUUUCUUCUCCCCUUUCUUGCUAUCCGAUUUUCUUCUCUUUCUAUAUGAUUCUAAACCUAUCUUCACCGCGCACUUCCUUUGUUCGUCAAUUGGUAUCGGAGGUAGACCGAUUUAUCAUCACAAUCCUCAGUGGCACAUUGUACUGGGCCAUCAAAAACCUACCAAUAUAUAAAAAUCAGUGUAGUGGAAGUGAAAAGCCUCAGCUCAUUGUUGUGGUGGUUGCUGUUGGCGGCAUCGUUGUCCAAUCGCAUCGUCAUGGUACGUCGUGUCUUGAUAGAGCAAGGUAGGUGGUGGAUGUUCGCUCGAUGCAGAGUGACGACAAUUGAUCUCCCAUCAUCGUUUUCCCAUCCCAAUCUCCAUCGGUAUAGAGUGGACCAUCCACUCGUAGAGAAAGAAAAAUCAAACCCUUGGAGGUGUCAAUAAUGUCCCUCAAUAUCUUCCACCUAAUUCUGCAUAUCUAAAGCACCUCUUCUUGAGUCCUUGUGCCAUCUCCUGCUUACCAAGACAUAGCCACACUUCCAUGAGGUUUUGGCUCCCCAAGUAAUCUUAUCAAUUCUUGAACUGGGAGAGAAGACAGAAAUGGCUCAACGACAUGGUCCGAGGCUGGUCAUCCCAAUAGAUGUGAAGAAGAAGCCCCACGAGCAGGCGCUCCCCCUCCACAACCGGUGGCACCCGGAGAUCCCGCCGGUCGCGGAAGUCCGGACCGGCGAGUUCUUCCGGGUGGAGAUGGUGGACUUCAGCGGCGGCGGGAUCACGCGCGAGUAUACCAUCGACGACAUCAAGCAUGCCAACAUGUCCAUCGUGAGUUCUCGGAAUUUGGCUAUUAAUUUUCCCGUUGCGUCUCUCGCUUGUUUUCUUAUCUGAUCGAAUUUACGAAGUUCAUCAUUAUAAUGAGGCCUUCAUAUGAUGAGAGAGAGUGGGGAAAUUAAGGAAAAUAGUAAGUCAUUCUACAGUUAGGAACCCCUUUAAUCUUCUUUUCUCAAGCUGAAUCCGAGUGGAUCAUUCCCAGAGAGGCAUCCCAAGUUCAGAAAACUCUUCUUCCUGUUGGGGUUUUCAGGAGAGAGCUUGGAGUGUGAAUAUACUAAUUUGACACAAUUGAGACGCUUGGAACGUUAGUUCUGCUGGAUAAUGACGAAGUGAUAGGUCCCAUUUUCGUCCUGCGAUGAUUUUUCCUUGUGGGGACCGUCAGAGCUGAAGGAGGAGUAAUACAUAACUAUGUUGAUGUGACCUAGUCGAUCUAUUAUUUAAUUCACGUAAUAUGUAUCCAGACUUUCAUAUUAAGAUUUUAAAAACUCAUAAUCUCGUCAUCAAAGCGUUUGUGAUAUUUGAAGGGUCGAUGUGACUAUGAUGACUGGCCAUUUUUUUUAAUUUUACCGUGCGUGUACAUGGCUAAUGGCACAACUAUUUUCUCUAGGAAGUUAUUUCCGAGUUCCUCUCUUUCACAUCCCAAAUCAAGGGAAAAGGAAGCCUGAGAUCAGCAUUAAACAAAAUCCUAACUUACAAUCAACGGCAAAACCCCCGUGUCGUGCAUCCUUUUUUUUUUGCAGAAAUGCAAGCCCUUCUCGCAUGAUUUCGUGAGGAAUAGCGUGAGAUCAAACCUCCAUUCACUUCGAGAAAAAUAAAUAAUUUAAAAUAUUUUCUUAAAAAUAAUUAUUUAUAUCUUUUAAAUUAAUUAAUUAAUUAAAGACAUUUUUUAUCAUAAUAUUUUUAUAUUUAAAUAUUUUCGUGAACGAUAAAAAUAGUUUUUGUUUGUUUAUUUCUAUAAACGAUGCACGUGAUCAUUUUUAGGAAAAUAUUUUUUUAAUUACUCAUUUUGUUUCAUGAAAUAAAGGAAGCCUAAAUGAAUAUGUUUUACUAUUGCCCUGUUAUUUUCCUUCCCAAAGAACUUUCUUCGUGUCUUAUCCAAUUUGAGAAUGUACUGCGACUUAGGGUUUCUAGGGUUGUCUCAAUGAUGAUUUGGGGCUGUAAAUAACUAAUGAUGGGAUUUUGGAGGGUAAUUGUGUCACUUUUAGAGCAUACGAAUUGCAUCACUUGUCACAGAUGCACCGCGACAUUAAAAAAAAUGCAACAUCGAAGUCACAAAGGAUUUUCAACAUCGAAAACCUACUCACAUAAAGUUUAGGAUUUGAGUAUUUAACGCACCUAUUAAUGGGUUGACGUUCUCUCUUGUUUGCUCCAAAUACCCAAUACAAUCAGAGAAAUCCAGCCUUCCCAGUCUCAUUAUUGAAUACCUAUCUCAAGACUAAUUUCUCAAAAAGCUCAAUACCAUGGCCAUUCUUGCAAUAUCCGCUCACAAAGUUAGGGAGAAGAAUAAUGGGAAUGCCAAAAUUACUGUACAGCACUCACUUGAGUGUCAACGCCAAUUUAUCUCACCGGAAAAUCCGACGUGACUUCACCGGCGUGGACAUGGCUUUGCAUCUACUAAUGUAAACAAUUUUUUAAUAUUUGUAAUAUUUUGUUUUUUUAAUUUUUUUAAUUUUUUCUGCUUUUUUUUUUGUUUUGCUUUUUUUUCUUUAGGGUCGGCAAGGGUUGAGCAAAAAAAAAAAAAAAACAGAAAUAUUCAAAAAAAAAAUCCAUGUAAUAUGAUUUGUCGGAAUUGGCACUCAAGCAAGCGCCGUACGAAAAUUUUGACACCACCACUGUUCUUACCCCUACAAAGUUACUAAAACAGAGAUAUAGUACUAAAUGCACCAAUAUAGUUACUGCCGAAUUGAGGAAAUUACUGCCGCGGAUACUAUCCGCUUUUCAGCACGGGUCGGACCCGUUUUGUGAAUAUACUAACUUGACCUAAUUGGGAUUCUUUGCAUUAUAUUAUUCUGUGAUGACAAAAUAAAGGUGGUCCUUUUCACCCUAUGGUGACUUUUUCCUUGGGGGGGGACCAUCUGAAAUGGGGUCACUCCAGUUUUGUCAUCUCCUGCCAAUCUUAGAGGAGUCAAACCUCCUCUAUCCCGAUGAAUCACAUACUUCAUCUGGUACAAAAAGUCUCCCCAUCAUCGCUUCUCAAAUUCUAAACUCUCUGCAACUUUUUCAUCCACACCCCCAUCAAUGGCUCCUCGGACCCCAAGACUAGUAGUGCCAAUAGACCUGAAAAAGAAGCCAUGGGACCAAAAACUGCCUCUCCACAACCGCUGGCACCCCGAGAUACCUGCGGUCGCAGCGGUUACGAGCGGCGAGUUCUUUAGGAUAGAGAUGGUGGACUGGACUGGAGGGGCUAUAAAAGAUGAUGACUCCGCACUCGACGUGAAAUCUGUAGAUCUCUCAACAGUAAGUGCCAGCCACUCCUAAGAAAGCUAAAGAACAGUUUCCACCUCUUGGAUUAUAAAUCAGGUGAAGCAAUAAAAGGACAGCUGAAAAUUAAGGGAGGAGUCGAGACUAUGUGCUAUGAGAGACUUUCUUAAGGGAGCUUUUUAAGUCUUGUGUAUACCUCGGUAGAGUUGUUGAUCUGGUCGUUUACUUCUGAUGCAGGUUCAUUACCUGAGUGGACCGAUCAGAGUCCUGGAUACAGAUGGAAUUCCUGCGAAGCCGGGUGAUCUUCUCGCUGUCGAGAUAUGCAACCUGGGUCCUCUACCAGGUGAUGAGUGGGGUUUCACAGCAACAUUCGACAGAGAAAAUGGAGGCGGAUUUCUGACAGAUCAUUUCCCAAGUGCAACCAAAGCUAUAUGGUAUUUUGAAGGAAUCUAUGCAUACUCACCGCAAAUACCGGGUAUAUCCUAAUUCUACAUGCUUUAUAUCUUUCAAACCUAAUGCCCGAUGCGUAGUAGUAUGCUGAAUAUAUCAUUGGUUUGCCUGGGGAAUGACAAUUUCCUGCAUGAAUCUUAGGUGUGAGGUUUCCAGGUUUGACUCACCCUGGAAUAGUAGGAACUGCACCAUCUAAGGAGCUCCUAAAAAUAUGGAACGACAGGGAAAGGGAGGUUGAAGAAAAUGGACUGCAGACACUCAAGCUAUGCGAGGUUUUGCAUUCAAGGCCACUAGCAAACUUACCAUCAACCAAAGGCUGUGUCCUUGGCAAGGUACGAUGUAAUUAACCGACUCAUAGCAAUUGACGCAAGCAAUACAAAGCCAUUCAUAUUAAAGCAUGCAUAGGGUAAUCUAAUCUGCAAAAAAGUCAUUUACUAACUGCUUAAACUGAAUAUCGGUCCUGAUAUCAACCAUCCUUUAGAUUCAAGGAGACACUCCCGAAUGGGAAAGGAUCGCGAGGGAAGCUGCCAGAACAAUUCCGGGAAGAGAGAACGGGGGAAACUGCGACAUCAAAAAUCUAAGUAGAGGUUCAAAGGUUUAUCUCCCUGUUUUUGUGGAAGGAGCAAACCUCAGCACUGGCGAUAUGCACUUCUCUCAGGGUGAUGGUGAGGUCUCCUUCUGUGGGGCAAUCGAGAUGAGUGGCUUCUUAGAGCUCAAGUACGGUUCAUUUCUCAUCUCCUCACAUUACAUGAAAUUAUAGUUCAAUCGGAGCAGUGACUAUUGACUUAAAAGUGUAAAAUAGCACCCCUAGCAAUGGUCAAGAAGAAAAUUCAUGAAUUAACUGAGAAGUAACGAAGUAAUCUUUAACGGUGAAACAGUAGAAACUUCACUUACUUCUAAAAAUACUUGUGUUAGUCACAUGGAAAUUUAAGACAUCAGCCAAAAAACUCUUAUAGCUUCGGUAGUAAAUGCUCAAUAUCCAAACAUAAUGCUCAUGGCAAGGACUGAUGUCUGCAGGCUCAUGAUUUACAGAGCAUCUAUAAUCUUCAUCCUUUUUAUCCCAAGUUUGACUAACCUUUUUCUUUCUAAAUUCACUCUCACUCAUCAUGCAACAUAUUAGUCUUCCUUACUUUGGGUGCUAAACGACAUUGUUGGCUUCAUCUUCAAUUAGAUGUGAAAUCAUCAGGGGAGGGAUGAAAGAGUACCUGACACCAAUGGGACCAACUCUUCUCCACGUGAACCCAAUCUUCGAGAUAGGACCAGUGGAGCCGAGAUUUUCAGAAUGGCUGGUGUUCGAGGGGAUCAGUGUCGAUGAGAGUGGGAGGCAGCAUUACCUCGACGCCAGCGUUGCAUACAAGCGGGCUGUACUCAAUGCCAUCGACUACCUCUCUAAAUUCGGCUACUCCAAGGAGCAGGUUUGCACAUCUCUUACAGAAAACUAAAAUCGCUAUUCAACACAUGUGGAAAAUUCUCGCCUGGGUCCAAUCCAGCAGGACUGGUUGAAUCUUGCAGUGGUCCCACUUCGGGUCCACAUCAUUCAACUGCUAUGAUCAUGCAAUCCAUGGUGAAUCGGAUCAAUACCAUAAAAAACAGAAAACAAAGACUUCCAAUCCUCAAAUUUCAGUAAUCUUUUAUAGUCCCUCCAGUGUGACUGACAAACACAUCCUGACAGAUGUAUCUUCUACUAUCCUGCUGCCCAUGUGAAGGAAGAAUAUCCGGAAUUGUGGAUUCCCCUAAUGCUGUAGCAACACUUGCCAUCCCCACAUCAAUCUUUGAUCAGGUACUUCUGAUAUAAACUUCUACACGUAUUAGCUCCACAUCCUCCUCCGAUGAUGAACAAUACACAUUCUCAUAAAAGACCACGUUCCACUAGAAUCUAUGGAUAAUUCGCUCAUAAAGUGGCAAAUAAUGCAACAAAUAGAAACUAGAAGAAAGAUGCUACUCUGCUGGUACACAUACAAUCGUCAAACUACCAAAUAAUUUUGAUGGCUGGAUGUAUCUUCUUUCCAUCUUCCACCACCUUUUCAUCCAUCAAUGUACAUUUCCUUGUUCUUCUUUUCACUUUAGUCACCAUAACUAAGAUUGCCAGACAUUACAUGAAGUCUAUCCUUCAUGAGUUUUUUCUUCCCUAUCAAUCAGUCAACAGAUCUGGAUCACUUUCAAAAAGUCCAGAUGGCAUAUCAUCUAAGAAAAAGUGUUUUUAUUGCAGGAUAUUCGUCCGAAGAACAAGAUUCCAGUCGGGCCUCGGCUAGUCAGGAAGCCAGAUGUCCUGAAAUGCACUUAUGAUGGGAAUCUACCUAUAACUAAGAACCUUAGUGCCACUAUGUAGUCCUCGCUCAGGUGGCCAAAAUCACAAUAGUUAAGUAUAACAUAUGUACUUGCCCCUCUUCCUAUUCCACAUUUACAAAACAUAAGUAGAACUGUGAAAGCAAGAAAUAUGUUAUUUCUGGACAACCU
rnacentral:lncRNA from 1 species